GGGUCAGUAGGUUGGUCGUGCCACCGGUACGUACUGGUCUCACUGAUUCCUCCUUCCUGAAGAACCGUAAUGCCAUUAAUUUGGUGUUGCGGGGAAACAGGACUGUUACUUUGGAAAAAUUAGAGUGUUUAAAGCAAGCUAACGCCUGAAUACAUUAGCAUGGAAUAAUGAAAUAGGACGAUCGAUCCUAUUUUGUUGGUUUCUAGGAUUGACGUA
rnacentral:rRNA from 1 species